CUGCAUGAAUUGGAAUCCUCUAAUUGAAAUAUUCCAUUUCAGAUUCUGCAACUGAUCAAAAACUCAAGCAGAAAGGUAGAAAUAUUAUUGAGGAAAAUUAUGAUACCGAGGUGUGUUAUGCAUCUGUGGACUUGAUGACCAGGAGACAAAACAGACACAAGAAAACACAAGCGCCAAGUUCAGAUUUCACUACUUAUGCUCCUAUCCGAACAGAAGCUGAAUAGAUUAGAAAGCUGGAGGAGGUAUUAUCAUUGAAAUAUUAUUUUAAUGGCAUGUUUGUUGGUUAAAAUGUGUGUCUAUGAUUAAAUCAUAGAUGAAAAAUAUGAAACAAGAAUUCUUCUUCUUCUUUAUAAGCAGUUCUUCUUCUUUAUAAGUAUUGACAGAUAAAAAUAUUUUCUUUCAGUAAAAGUGUUUUAGUAUGUUUCCCUACAGUCUUUGUGGACACACAGUGAUGAGUAACAGGAUGUGGAAGUGGGUUUCCUGUUUUAUGUAGCGUUUAGUUUAAAGGGGUCACAAACUGCCUUUGUUUUUUUAAAUUUUGUACUGUUCUCUGAGGUCCAAUUAUUAUGUUUUCAAGAUUUUUAUAUUAAAAACAUUAUUUAGAAGUAACACGCUAUUUUCUGUCCUGUUUUUAUCCCCCUCAUCAGAAUGCUCUGUUUGAAUAGUCAUGGCGGAUUGUAGAGUCGGAAGUAAACGCCCACUGAUACGAUUGACUAAUAGUUGUGUAUGUUAGAGAACGUACAUUCCUUAUAGAUGGACACUGGUGUGAUUUAGAUCAAAACACAUAAAAAAUGCACUUUGCACUGCACAGCAUCUUGUUGUCUUUAGAGCCAUCUUUAUCAUUCAGUUUCUGCGUGGACCUGUGUUGAUCUUCAGGCGUUGAUCUUCUUCUGUGGAGGUGGGGUUUAGCCACACUAUUACAUCAUAGAGUAGAACAUUCCAAAAGCUGUCGUUUUGGCAGACUACCUUUAAUAUAAGCUGUCUUUAGACUAACCAGAAAGUUUUGAGUUCUGAAACUUACAGGAUUUUUAUAGUAUAAUGACCUCUUAUAUGUCAAAAGAUCAAGGGAAUUUGGUUUCUCAGUUCAUGACCCCUUUAAGCUGUGUAUAGUUCUCUUCAACUGGAUGACCGCAACAUUUAUCUGACUCAUUUUUUUUCAAUAAGCCUCAUCAAAUUUUCCUAAAUCACACCUUUUUCCAUCCCAUUAUAGUAAUGUAUUAGAAAUUGUAAAGGAAACUAGAAAACCUAUGCCCAUUUUACAUUUAAAAUGAAAUGAGGUAGAAAUUAUUAGACAUUAUUUUAAGUUUUUCUUUUGAACCCUUGAACCCUCUGAAUUGCUCUUCAAAGGAGCUUUACACUCCUACAGUAUCUUUGUUUUCUUUCAAAGAAAGGUCAUGUCUUAUUCUCAGUAAUAAAGAUAACAAUCUUAACCA
ensembl:lncRNA